AAAUCCCGCAGUGGGUUUCCCCCUCGGUGGGUGGGGUGUGGGAUUAGACCUCUGGCGCUGGUGAAUCACCAAAAUAUCCC
rnacentral:SRP_RNA from 1 species